GGGGAUAUAGCUCAGUUGGGAGAGCGCCGCCCUUGCAAGGCGGAGGCCACCGGUUCGAUUCCGGUUAUCUCCACCA
rnacentral:tRNA from 1 species